UACGUAGGGGGCUAGCGUUGUCCGGAAUCAUUGGGCGUAAAGCGCGUGUAGGCGGUCCGGUAAGUCAGCUGUGAAAGUCAAGGGCUCAACCCUUGAAUGCCGGUUGAUACUGUCGGGCUAGAGUCCGGAAGAGGCGAGUGGAAUUCCCGGUGUAGCGGUGAAAUGCGCAGAUAUCGGGAGGAACACCAAUGGCGAAGGCAGCUCGCUGGGACGGUACUGACGCUGAGACGCGAAAGCGUGGGGAGCGAACGGG
rnacentral:rRNA from 1 species